rnacentral:rRNA from 1 species
UUUUAUGGAGAGUUUGAUCCUGGCUCAGAGUGAACGCUGGCGGCGUGCCUAAUACAUGCAAGUCGAACGAUGAAGCGACUAGCUUGCUAGUUGUGGAUUAGUGGCGCACGGGUGAGUAAGGUAUAGUUAAUCUGCCCUACACAAGAGGACAACAGUUGGAAACG